UGGGGGUAUCUUGAGCCCUGGUAUAAUGAAGGAGGCUCGCGAGGGCCAGUGUCCCGCUGGAGGAGGCCGCUUCUCCACCUGCCACCCCGUCUCAGAGGCCCCGCGGUUGCGCCAAGGCAGGACCAGGGCUAAAACUCAGCCCUCUGGUUCUAGGUGCCCCUUCCGCUGCCUGGCCAAGCGGAGCGCUGUAAGUCCCCAGGCCGAGGACUUGCUGGCACAGGGCAGUGGUCCUGGAGGCAGGCAAGAAGCAGGCUGGCUGCCAGACUGCUGGCUCCUGGGGGUGCUUCGAUGGCCCCCAGCCCAGGUCGGUCCAGGAGCAGGACAAAAAGGACAAGACGUCCUCCCAUCCCGGCGCCCCUACCGAGCACUCUUCCCCGAGUGCCAGACGGCUGGCACAAUUCCGCGGGCUCCUGCUGUCAACAGGAGCAGCGAGACCUCACGGAGAAGCAUAUAGCACGCCAAGCGGCUUGCCCGAGACGCUGCCACUCUGCUUCUGUGCACCCGGCAUCCCCUAGCCCACCCCAGGAGACAAGAAACGCCUUACAGGGGGGAAUCACAGAAAACAACUAGAGCGGGGCAGCACCAGAGACGAACGCACAUCUGGUCUGCAUCCACCUGACAUAAAAUCCUGAGAUCCAAACACAGAUGAGCUCAAGACAGGGCCUUCUAUUUCUACAGCAGUCGCGGUAAUCCACCCUUGAAGAGAUCUAGCUCAGCUGGGCCUGUCUUCUCAGACAGCAGGAAUACUGGCUUGUAGACAUAUCCCUUGGACACCCCAGGUCUCUAAAGUAUACAGACAACUCCGUACACACAGCCCUUUUAACUCUGUGCAGACAACCUUUUUAACUCUGAUGGAUAGAUUAUUUUAAAUAUUAUUACUUCUUUCCAAGCAUUACUAGCAGCUUUAAAAAAAAAUAGAUCACUUAAUUUAUCACCUAAGUCAGUAUCUUCAAAGUUCUGUCCGACUUCCAGGCCUUACUCUGGGCCCUGUCACUUCUAUAAAUACAUGUUAUAAUAAGGCCUCCAUUAAAAAGAGAAUGUGUUUCAAUAACACGUUAUUGUAAGAAUCUUUAUUACUGACAAUAGACAUAGGCUGUAUAAGGUGUACUCAAGGAUGUUAGUGGCUCAGUGGUAAAGAAUCUGCCUGCCCAUCCAGGAGACAUGGGUUCGAUCCCUGGGUUGGGAAGAUCCCCUGGAGAAGGAAACAGCAACCCACUCCAGUAUUCUUGCCUGGAGAAUCCCAUGGGCAGAGGAGCCUGGCGGGCUACAGCCCACAGGGUUGCAAAGAGUUGGACACGACUUAGUAACUAAACAAUAAGGAUGUCAGAACAGGAAAGCUCGUAUGUAAAAUAUUAACACUUGGUGAUGAGAGGGGCAAGGAUAGUCAAAAUCAAUAGGUCAGGGAUAACUCCUCCUGAAGGAGAAGCAAUAAGUUCAAUUGCUAUUUUUGUUUAGUAAUUAAGGCAUGUCUGACUCUGCAACCCCAUGGAUUGUAGCUCACCAGGCUCCUCUGUCCAUGGGAUUUUCCAGGCAAGAAUACUAGAGUGGGUUGCCAUUUCCUCCUUCGGAGAAUCUUCCUGAACUAGGGAUCAAACCUGAGUCUCUCACAUCUCCUGCAUUGGAGUUCCUUUAUCACUGAUAAAGGGAAGCCCAAGAAGUGUGAUGACC
rnacentral:lncRNA from 1 species